UACGUAGGGGGCAAGCGUUGUCCGGAUUUAUUGGGCGUAAAGAGCGUGUAAGCGGUCAGGUAGGUCCGUUGUGAAAACUCGAGGCUCAACCUCGAGACGCCGAUGGAAACCAUCUGACUAGAGUCCGGAAGAGGAGAGUGGAAUUCCUGGUGUACCGGUGAAAUGGGUAGAUAUCAGGAGGAACACCCGUGGCGAAGGCGGCUCACUGGGCAUCUCCUGACGCUGAGGCGCGAAAGCGUGGGUAGCAAACAGG
rnacentral:rRNA from 1 species